AAAAGGAACAGAUGAACCCAAAGAUCACUCACCUGUUUUGAGUCAGGCACUGAAGUAUGCAGCAUUGUUUGAAGACCAUUAUCAAGGUUCAUCACCAGAUGAUCCAAAUUACAGUGAGAUAUACAUGUACUUGUCACAAAUAGUAGCAGGAAAGGAACCAACUCAAAUAAGUCCUGGAAGUGCUGCUAAGGUUUUAGAAAUGCUAGAAACAG